GGGAGCCGUGUAAGCCGAGAGGUUUACGCACGGUUCUGAGAGAGCCGGGCGGUGCGAUUCCGCCCGGCCACUCGCU
rnacentral:ncRNA from 3 species